ACGCAAACUCAGAGGAGGAGAUGAAGCCGUAUCCAGAAGAAAGCUCUCCACCUGUUGCUGAGGAACCGCCAGCUGUUGUGAUGGAGAUCCUGCUCCUGAACUGCUGUUGGCUGAACUUCCAGACGAGGAGGCUGGAGAGAAGAGAGAAGUAUUGAUCAACUUCAGUAGUUGGACAAUACAUCUCUCUACUAUGGACAUUAUAUGUGCUGGAUGAUUUCUGGACUCACAGGAUAUGACAUAACUUCUGGACGCGCCUCCUUCAGCACUGC